CCACUUGGACACUAUUGUCCCGAGGGCACUCCUUUCCCAGUCGCCUGCCCAGCUGGGACCCUGAACAACAGCACAGGUGGUACCUCUCUGGAGAGCUGUGUGCCAUGCUAUCCUGGGUCUUUCUGCGCUGGCGUUGGUUUGAGUUCUCCAACAGGACCUUGUACUGAGGGAUUUUACUGCCCAGCAAACUUCAGCUCCUUCAGCCCCACAGCAUUUAUCUGCCCUAAGGGUCAUUUCUGCCAGUCAGGAGCAGCCCACCCAACGCCGUGCCCUGCUGGGCAAUACCAGCCAGCCAAGGGCUCUGCAUCCUGCAUUCCGUGCCAGAGAGGAUUCUACUGCCAGGAGCUGGUGGCUGGAGACCCCAGGAGCUGCCCACCACAUGCUUACUGUCCUACAGGCACACAGUUUCCUCAGACAUGUCCUGAAGGCACCUUUACUCCUCCAAACAUGACUGGCCUCUGGAAUGAGAAGCAAUGCCUGCCUUGCUUACCUGGUCACUACUGCAGGUAAUGACCAUUCAUUUCUAUCUGGCAUUUUUUCCACUACGUCCUAAGCAGCUCGUCCUUGUUUUAUGCUGGUAAGUCAACACUAAAUUC
rnacentral:lncRNA from 1 species